AUGGUGAGCAGCGGCGACCCCGGAGUAUUUGGCGAGGCAGGCAUCGGGCCAGAGAUCCGCCGCGUCCACGACUGGGUUCGCGAGGGGCAUAAAGAGACAGAUAAUUUUCACGUGAGGCUGCAACUUGAUGUGCUUGAGCAGGCAUUUGGACCUAGGAUGGCGGGUGCAACAUCUCAGGGAGAACCAAGUCGUCGUAAUGGCAUCUCUAGCCAGAACAGUUCAGUUGGUGCACGGCGACGUGGUGGCUCAACAAGUGUGGGCAACAGCAGUAGGGUCCCCCUUGAAGUGGAUCCUGAUGGCUACAAUUCUGGGGUUGAUGAAGAGAAGCUAUAUUCUGAUGUUAUUCGGAAUUUACGACGGGUACCUCGGACUGAAAACCAAGAUGAGGCUCACAAUGUAGUCCGUGUGGAUGAUGACGCGAUGGGUGAGGACGAAGAGCUUGCAGCUAUUGAAUGGGACCCUUUGAACCCUCAUAUGGAAGAAGGCUUCGAUGAAAAUGUUGGUCAGCAGUCGGUUGCCUCAACUGAUGAAAAUGAUGGUCAACAGCCGGUUGCAUCAGAUGAGGAUUUUGACGAGGUUCCAAAUGAUGAUGGUCAACAGCCGCAUGAUUUUGACGAUGAUCCAAAAUAUCCUCCAAAUAAUGAUUCAAGUGAGGCUCCAAAUGGUGAUCCAAAAGACGCGCAAGGUACCGACAACCAAGAGAAGAAGAGAAGAAACAAUGAGCACAAGGUGCACGAGGAGCAAAGUGAUGGCAAGAAGCUCAAGGAACAGACGGAAGCCCCAACGCUAUCUAUGAAUAAUUAUGAAACAUUACGAAUAAGGGAUGAUGCUGUAUUAUGA
rnacentral:rRNA from 1 species